rnacentral:rRNA from 1 species
CAGUCGCCGCGGUAAUACGGAGGGUGCGAGCGUUAAUCGGAAUUACUGGGCGUAAAGCGUACGCAGGCGGUUUGUUAAGUCAGAUGUGAAAUCCCCGAGCUUAACUCGGGAACUGCAUUUGAAACUGGCAGGCUAGAGUCUCGUAGAGGGGGGUAGAAUUCCAGGUGUAGCGGUGAAAUGCGUAGAGAUCUGGAGGAAUACCGGUGGCGAAGGCGGCCCCCUGGACGAAGACUGACGCUCAGGUACGAAAGCGUGGGGAGCAAACAGGAUUAGAUACCCGCGUAGUCCCUGUCUCUUAUAC